rnacentral:rRNA from 1 species
UACGGAGGGUGCAAGCAUUGAUCGGAUUUACUGGGCGUAAAGGGCGCGCAGGCGGUCAUAUAAGUCAGAUGUGAAAUUCCGGGGCUCAACCUCGGAGCUGCAUUUGAAACUAUGUGACUAGAGUACAGUUAGGGAAAAUGGAAUUCCACGUGUAGCGGUGAAAUGCGUAGAUAUGUGGAAGAACACCGGUGGUGAAGACGAUUUUCUGGGCUGUAACUGACGCUGAGGCGCGAAAGCUAGGGGAGCAAAC